AUCAUUGUGCUUUGUUAUACUUCUUCAUAGUGAUUUGAAUUCUCACCCUUUCUGUUUGAAUGUUGCCUUUACAUGGGCAUCGUGCAGAUACUCAAGAGUAGUAUUGCUGAAGUAAGUGGACGGUAGCUCACUCGAGAUUUAGCCGGAGAGUUUUCGUGUUUUGUUUUAGAGACUAGGUAAUGAGUCAAUGCUCUGGUCAUGUAACACGGGGAAAUUAGUAGUAUU
rnacentral:lncRNA from 1 species